UAGAGGCAGAGAAUCUGGAGAGAGUUACUGCAGGAUACUACAGAGAGAGAGGGGGAGUAGAGGCAGAGAAUCUGGAGAGAGUUACUGCAGGAUACUACAGAGAGAGAGGGGGAGUAGAGGCAGAAGACGAGUGCAGCACAAAGAAUUAGAAAGUGAACACAGACGUUUAAAGAGAGGAAAACUGCUGUGAAGACAGACAGACAGACAGACAGACAGACAGACAGACAGACAGACAGACAGACAGACAGACAGACAGACAGACAGACAGACAGACAGACAGACAGACAGACAGACAGACAGACAGACAGACAGACAGACAGACAGACAGACAGACAGACAGACAGACAGGCACAGAGAUGUCAAAGAACAAAAGACAAUAUUUUAGUCCAACUGGAAAACUGGAGCAAGUGAAUUAUUAGGUGAAGAGCCAGAACAGCAGAGAUGAGACGACACGAACGAGAGGAGUAAGAAGACGAGCAGGGUGAGAGAGAGAGAGAAAAGACAAUCCAUCCCAGAGUUUAGGAAACCAUUUGUUGUUGCUUUGACUCUGUUUGCCAGGGUUUUUAAUGAGAAACUUUGGGAGAAGUAGAUCCAAUCUGUACUGAAGUUGGAGAGGCGGACUUGUCAAACUCCACAUCUAAACUCAUUCACUCCAAAGUUUGACCAACAUUACCCUGUGUGUGUGAGACCUGACCAGGCCAAGGGGAAAUCCAAGAUGGAGGUGAGGAAGGAGGUGUUGCACAUCCUGAAUAUGGUGUGGACUAAACUGCAGAACCUGCCUCAGGCCAAUUCACUGGAGCUGGGGGCGUUCUUCAUCAUCAUCCUGUUCGUCGCUACAUUUUUGUUUAUUAUAGUGCUGUCCUGCGUUCGCUGCUGUUGCUGUGGAAAGAUUAAAUCCCGAGUCCAGCCCUUACAGUCUGUCUGAGGAGGAGACAUUGGCCCAGUUACAAUAUAUAGAACAUUUAAGGAAGGGAGGAAACAGCAAUCCCAGGGAAGAACUAGUCUUAGAAUCACCUGGACAAUGUAGCUUGGAGGAGACAGACAGACUGCUCUGCAACCAGCCUGAGGAAUCUGUGUGUGUAUUAAGACUGAUGAGCAAUGGCCGACUCAUUAACACUACGUAGCAGUAGCUUUAAACAGACAAUGACACUCUAUAAACAGAGAACUGUGAACAUUGCUUCUGUGCUGUUGUUUUGUCUGAGGACACAAACCACUCCGAGAUUUAUCCUGCUUUCUCAUGUGAUUUGACCUGGAAGAGCCGAUAGGUUUUAUGUUGUAAGUUUUGUAGGUCUAUAGAAGGAAACAUUUUAAAUAAAUAAAAACUCCCUCAGAUUUCAA